rnacentral:rRNA from 1 species
AGCAGCCGCGGUAAUUCCAGCUCCAAUAGCGUAUAUUAAAGUUGUUGCAGUUAAAAAGCUCGUAGUUGAAUUUCGAGAUCAAUUUGUCGGUCGUGCCUCGGUACGUACUGGCAUUAUUGAUUUCUCCCUUCUGAAGAACCGCGAUGUCAUUAAUUUGGUGUCGUGGGGAAUCAGGACUGUUACUUUGAAAAAAUUAGAGUGUUUAAAGCAGGCGCACGCUUGAAUACAUUAGCAUGGAAUAAUGAAAAUAGGACGUUUUGAUUCUAUUUUGUUGGUUUCUAGGAUCGACGUAAUGAUUAAUAGGGAUAGUUGGGGGCAUUAGUAUUCAAUUGUCAGAGGUGAAAUUCUUGGAUUUAUUGAAGACUAACUACUGCGAAAAGCAUUUGCCAAGGAUGUUUUCAUUAAUCAAGAACGAAAGUUAGGGAUCGAAGACGAUCAGAUACCGUUGUAGUCUUAACCAUAAACUAUGCCGACUAGGGAUCGGAUGAUGUUAAUUUUUAUGACUCAUUCGGCUACCG